UGGGUUCGACACGUUUCGAUGCCCUCCCCGAAAGGGGAGUAAGCUGCCUUCGGGUGAAACUUUCAC
rnacentral:rRNA from 1 species